GUUUUAGAAACGGCAGCAGUGACAGUGGGUCACCUUCUCUGAUGCAGAUUUUUAUAAUGGUGGCAUGCAAGCUCUUGUUCAUAACUGGAGAAAAUGCAUAGCUAAAGGAGGUUUCUAUGUUGAAAAACUGUGUUUCGCAGUUGAGAAUUUGCUCUAUCAAAUAGUGUUAUUAUGGUCUUUAUAUCCACUCUUUAUUAUACUAUUAUACUCUUUACUCUAUACCACUACUAUACUCUUUUUCUCUAUACCACUAUUAUACUCUUUAUAUCCAAUUUCCAUGGGACUGAGUAGGAGGUAUCACUUUUAGAGUUACCUGUGUGUUAGCAAGAUAAAGACAAACAUUUCCUAAUGGGGAAGUUGGGAUGCGUUAUCUGCUAUAGCUAAGAACAAACAUUACAUUAGCAGCAAAACCCUUCAGUAGGAUUGAGAAACACUUGAUUGUUGAUUGUGACUUACAGGGACACUGAAAUGUAAAGAGUUAAUGCCAGAUAAUGGCACAUUAAUGGUUAUUUAGUGGGUAGCUUUGUUAAUCUUAUACAUAAAAAGAUUUUAAUUUUCAGGAGCUUGAGACAGACCUGGUUGUGUUUCUACUUUUGAAAAGCGCAUAAACAGAAGGUUUCAAGAAGUAUUUAUUUCUACACUCAAAGAUACUGAAAAGUUGCUUGGUGUCUGAUCAAGCUACAAAGAUAUUCCAGUUGUAUGGUGGAAAUACAGUGGAGCUAAGGCUUUGCAUGCUGCUCUCAGCCAGGGCUAUUAUUAUGCAAGGACAAGAUGAUUUGCAGAAUGACUGGGACAUCCAAAAUUAAAACGUUUGCCUUCAUCCUCUUGUGUGUCAUCUGGUACCAAAGGUACAGACACUCAAAAUCACAUCUGUUUUUCAUCUGCAGAGUGAAUGACAGCACACGGCCAGUUAGUUGCAACAUGGAGAGAAGCCUCCAACCCUUCUCCACCACUGAAUACAGGAAGGAAGUUUUCUUGGUGAUGAACAGAAGGCAGCUCCUGAUGUGUAAGAACAGGGAAAGAUGAUGUGGCUAUGUUUGAGAUCUCUUUCCUGGGAGGAAGUGAAUAACAGAGAAAAGGAU
rnacentral:lncRNA from 1 species